rnacentral:rRNA from 1 species
GUUGAACGCUGGCGGCGUGCCUAAUACAUGCAAGUCGAGCGAACAGACGAGGAGCUUGCUCCUCUGACGUUAGCGGCGGACGGGUGAGUAACACGUGGAUAACCUACCUAUAAGACUGGGAUAACUUCGGGAAACCGGAGCUAAUACCGGAUAACAUGUUGAACCGGAUGGUUCAACAGUGAAAGACGGUCUUGCUGUCACUUAUAGAUGGAUCCGCGCCGCAUUAGGUAGUUGGUAAGGUAACGGCUUACCAAGGCAACGAUGCGUAGCCGACCUGAGAGGGUGAUCGGCCACACUGGAACUGAGACACGGUCCAGACUCCUACGGGAGGCAGCAGUAGGGAAUUUUGCGCAAUGGGCGAAAGCCUGACGGAGCAACGCCGCGUGAGUGAAGAAGGUCUUCGGAUCGUAAAACUCUGUUAUUAGGGAAGAACAAAUGUGUACGUAACUAUGCACGUCUUGACGGUACCUAAUCAGAAAGCAACGGCUAACUACGUG